CGAUGAUUGGUGACAAAGGCUUCUUUAACUCGACCGUAAGAACCUCUUAGUCACCCUCACCAAUAUUUCGUUAAAAAAGAAUCACGUAUGUAGAAACUUUGAGAUCUUUGUUACCGAUUUUCAUUACAAGAGAUCUAUUAAUUCAGAGCGUAGGGAUCCCGAAAUGGGCCGGAAACUCUGAAUCUGAAAUAGGAUGAGACAAUAAAAGAUCAAGGUAGCUGAUAUUGGACAGUCAGCCGCAGAAGGCAUGAUUUGGAAACUCGAUUUAUAGACAGAUUUUGGAGAUUGGAGGUAUUUUUUUUGUGUUGGGGUUUACGCAUAGAAGAGGAUUAGGAUGGAGAGUAAUAUCCAGGAGAAUUAGGGUUCAUAAGGAACACCUGCUCCAAAUGAGAAGCGAAGGAGGAGCCCAUGGAGACGGCCCUAGCUUUGGAGAGAGGCUGCUCGCCAUGGAUUCGAAAGGCUUCUCUGAUUAGCCUCGCAUAAGUCGUUAGCGAAUUGGACGUAGGCCUAUUAACGAGCCGGGCCCGAGCCUCGGUACCGAGCUUUGUAUUGGGCUCAAGCUCGAGCUUGCUUGGCAAAGCAAAGGCUCGGGCUUGAGCUUGUAAAGCUCAUUUCAAUUACGAGCUCAAGCCCGAGUUCGGGCUCGAUACGAGGUCGGGCCUGGGCUCGGGCUCGAUACAAGCUCGGGCUUGAGCUCGGGCUCGGUACGAGCUCGGCACUAAAACUUACUAGUAUCCAAAUUACAUACUACCAACUCAGCAGUAAAACUUGCAAUGCAUUAUUUUCUGGAAUUCAAUUAUCAGGAAUCCCAUCAAAAAAAAGACUCAAUUGCCAUAGGAUUUGUUUGAGCCAUACCCAACCCUGUUUAAUUUCGGUGCAAAUUUUUAGUUAGCUAGCAGUCAGAAGGAAAAAUUCUAACAGGCAACACUCCAGUCAAAAGGAAUAUAUGCCUGCACCAACAAAGUGCCCAUUUUGCAACACAUCCAUGAAACAACCAAUCACCCCUUGCUCAAAUGCUCCUUCUCCCAUGUAGGUUGGGCUCCUUUCAAAAAAUGUAUACAUAUCCAGAGGGCCUUCUACAACAUAAUUUUAUGGAUAAUAUGUCAUUAUCCUGCAAGCUUCCU
rnacentral:lncRNA from 1 species